GGAUGUCAGGGUGAUUUGUCUAUUACAUCUACCACCCAUUUGGCACCACGUUCCUUUUGCUGAUCUGAGUAGCUAGAAAGAGAUCCCCAACCUCCCUCAUGGUUCUCUGUGCCUCUCUCUUGAAACUGCUCAAAGGGAUGAUCUUCCUGGAUGGAGACAACCCUUCUUCUUUGAUCAAGGGUCUAUAAGUGGUUAAACUUCUCUGCAAGACCCUCUAAAUAAGAUCUCAGUGUUAAUUUGAGCAAGAAGAUAGGGACAGUAGCCAGUCUUCCAAAAUUCUAUGCACACUCAAAUUCAAGACUGCAUGCAGCUAGCUGCCUUUAUAUAU
rnacentral:snRNA from 1 species